UACGUAGGGCGCAAGCGUUGUCCGGAAUUAUUGGGCGUAAAGAGCUCGUAGGCGGUCUGUCGCGUCCGUUGUGAAAACUCGAGGCUCAACCUCGGGCUUGCAGUGGAUACGGGCAGACUAGAGUGCGGUAGGGGAGACUGGAAUUCCUGGUGUAGCAGUGAAAUGCGUAGAUAUCAGGAGGAAUACCGAUGGCGAAGGCAGGUCUCUGGGCUAUAACUGACGCUCAUGCACGAAAGCGUGGGGAGCAAACAGG
rnacentral:rRNA from 1 species